rnacentral:lncRNA from 1 species
CACGCACACAAACAAACACAGGCAAAGGCAAACGUGGAGCCUGAAUGCCAAUCACUGGACUUACAUCAGCAUCCGAACCAAAACACACACAAAGAGGCAAACAUGGAGCCUGAAUGCCAAUCACUGGACUUACAUCAGCAUCCGAACCAACACACACACAAAGAGGCAAACGUGGAGCCUGAACGCCAAUCACUGGACUUACAUCAGCAUCCGAACCAA